CACGUAGGGCGCAAGCGUUGUCCGGAAUUAUUGGGCGUAAAGAGCUCGUAGGUGGUUUGUUACGUCUGCUGUGAAAACCUAGGGCUUAACCCCUGGGCUUGCAGUGGAUACGGGCAGACUAGAGGUAGGUAGGGGAGAAUGGAAUUCCUGGUGUAGCGGUGAAAUGCGCAGAUAGUCAGGAGGAACACCGGUGGCGAAGGCGGUUCUCUGGGCCUUACCUGACACUGAGGAGCGAAAGCGUGGGGAGCGAACAGGAUUAGAUACCCC
rnacentral:rRNA from 1 species